rnacentral:rRNA from 1 species
UAGGGAAUAUUAGUAAUGGGCGCAAGCCUGAACUAGCAACGCCGCGUGUGCGAAGAAGGCCUUCGGGUUGUAAAGCACUUUUUGAGAGGAUGAGGAAGGACGGUACUCUCAGAAUAAGUCUCGGCUAACUACGUGCCAGCAGCCGCGGUAACACGUAGGAGGCGAACGUUAUCCGGAUUUACUGGGCGUAAAGCGCGUGUAGGUGGUUUGGUAGGUAGGGCGUGAAAGCUCCUGGCUCAACUGGGAGAGGCCGUUCUAAACUGCCGAACUAGAGGAUGGUAGAGGGAGGUGGAAUUCCGGGUGUAGCGGUGGAAUGCGCAGGUAUCCGGAGGAACACCAGUGGCGAAAGCGGCCUCCUGGACCACUCCUGACACUCAGACGCGAAAGCUAGGGUAGCAAACGG